CCUACGGGUGGCAGCAGUGAGGAAUAUUGGUCAAUGGGAGAGAUCCUGAACCAGCCAAGCCGCGUGAGGGAAGACGGCCCUAUGGGUUGUAAACCUCUUUUGUCGGAGAACAAAACCCGGGACGUGUCCCGGACUGCGUGUAUCCGAAGAAAAAGCAUCGGCUAACUCCGUGCCAGCAGCCGCGGUAAUACGGAGGAUGCGAGCGUUAUCCGGAUUUAUUGGGUUUAAAGGGUGCGUAGGCGGUCCGUUAAGUCAGCGGUAAAAGUGCGGGGCUCAACCCCGUCGAGCCGUUGAAACUGGCAGUCUUGAGUUGGCGAGAAGUACGCGGAAUGCGCGGUGUAGCGGUGAAAUGCAUAGAUAUCGCGCAGAACUCCGAUUGCGAAGGCAGCGUACCGGCGCCAGACUGACGCUGAGGCACGAAAGCGUGGGGAUCGAACAGGAUUAGAUACCCGAGUUGUC
rnacentral:rRNA from 1 species